rnacentral:rRNA from 1 species
AUUGAACGCUGGCGGAAUGCUUUACACAUGCAAGUCGAACGGCAGCACGGGGCAACCUGGUGGCGAGUGGCGAACGGGUGAGUAAUACAUCGGAACGUGCCCAAUCGUGGGGGAUAACGUAGCGAAAGUUACGCUAAUACCGCAUACGAUCUACGGAUGAAAGCGGGGGAUCGCAAGACCUCGCGCGAAUGGAGCGGCCGAUGUCAGAUUAGGUAGUUGGUGGGGUAAAGGCUCACCAAGCCAACGAUCUGUAGCGGGUCUGAGAGGACGACCAGCCACACUGGGACUGAGACACGGCCCAGACUCCUACGGGAGGCAGCAGUGGGGAAUUUUGGACAAUGGGCGCAAGCCUGAUCCAGCCAUUCCGCGUGCAGGAUGAAGGCCUUCGGGUUGUAAACUGCUUUUGUACGGAACGAAACGGUUCUCUCUAAUACAGGGGGCUAAUGACGGUACCGUAAGAAUAAGCACCGGCUAACUACGUGCCAGCAGCCGCGGUAAGAC